AUUAUGAAAGAAUUUUCAUUUUGCUUGAUGAAGUACAAGGAUCUAUGGAAGUCAAGAAACAACUUGUUAAAUUUGCCAUUAAGGAAGCAGCAAGGCUUAAAAAUUUUGCCUUAAUUCAGCAACUCAAGAAGGUGCUAAAAGAGUAGAUUCCCACUGCCAUCUCAGCAAAGUUAAGCACAUGAGAAAAAAUAAUUGUGUUAAUGCAAAUACCAAGGAGAAACAAGGAUAUGUGCUGUAAAGUGGAGUAGGUCAUUGCUGAAGCUUCCUGUAAUUUUGAAGUGAAGAAAAUUCCCUUCCUGAAGCUAAGAAAAGA